CGCCCGUGGUCUGCCAAUCAUCCCAGUGCUCCGCCUCCCCAGGAUCCACGCGGCCCCACCUGCAAAACCGUGAUUUGUGGAUCAAUUCCGCCCAUCCUUUUUCUCUAGCCCAGAUCGAGAAGGACGCAUCCUGCAACACUACAGUAACGUCGGCGCCCUCCACGGCGUUCGCCGCGGACGAGACGAUACCGGCGCGGCGCUUCAUCAGGUUGUGGCAGCCAACGGCCCUCGCCGGCACGGUGGCGCCGUGCGCCAUCCUGGUGGUGCCGGCCCACUGGGUGACCGAAUCUCCGGCCGUCAACGUCAUCCGUGGCAACAACGACACCAUCUACAACUUCCCAAGUCCAUGUACCAGGUUCGUGAGUUCGCCCGUGCGCCCCUCUCGCUUCUAUGUACCAGGACCAUUGUAUGGAUUCAGCGUUCGAUUCCAGUAGCCGCGGAUUGCGUCAUUGUCUAGGUUUGGUUGCGAGUUGUUGAUCGCUGGGGAUUGGAUUGGAUGGCGCAAUACUACAGGGCCAUCAGCCAUCUACAAUGUCGGCGCCCUCAAUGGCGUCCGCCGUGACUUGCUGCUCUCCGUGCGCUUCAGUGCCGUCCAGACAUGAUGUCUUAGGAGUGUGUGACGGCGCCCUUGACGACAUGCGUGGCGGGGCACGACGGGCUUAUGUGUCCAAUUACUGAUUCCUUCACCUAUUUCUGACAGCAUUAAGGUGGUGCCGCCGCCCUUCCUCUGCCUGCUACGGACUAGCCCCUCUGCGUCACCCUGCUGACUCCUUGCAUGCAAUCGACGGGCUAGGUAACUCGCCUUAUUCCUCAUCUCUUCCUUUCCCUCCCUUCCUCUUGCUUUUCCUCUUGCUUCUCUCUGCCAUCUAGAUUAGCCCCUGGAUAUGGACGAUUUCAUGUCCUCCAUUGUCGUUGUUGCUAUAAUACAUUAUGAUUUAUUACAGCUUGUCUGAAUGGGUUAGAAGAGGAGUGAUGAACUGUUUCGUAGGCAUCCAUGUAUGUUUUAAGUUUCAUUAUCAUCUGAAGUAUAAACUUGCUUCAAACGGUCAAUUUACAUUCUGCCACAAAAUUUCUCUGCGGCUGUGGUUGUAUUGGAAACAUCUUAUUCUAAAAAGUAAAUGUUUUCACGCCAAGUAUCUAUGGUUUGUUUUGUUCGGAUAAGUGAUGCAAUCAGUAGCACUGUUGUCUUUCAUACAAUUUAUACUCUCAAUAUUCUUAUUUACCUCCAAGACUGUAGCCCACAAACUAAAAAGUAAAUGCUUAUUCCUCUCUGUCCAGGAUACUAUUGUGAGAUGGUCUGAUACAUAAAAGACGGCCUCAAGCCCCUCUAAGGAAGCAUCCAGUCUCGCCGUUAUACCAAUUUCGCCGGAAAAACGAUCUACUAACUUUGCCGGAGCGCCGACUGCCUGUGCUCCACCUGAGAUACGCCGAACAGCCAAGCCACGAGUAGCCUUGAAGUAGCAAGCUGUUAUGUUUGAAAAUUAAUUUAAAAAAAAACAUGUGUUCUGGGCUUUAUACUUUACCAUGAUCUUUUACUGUGUGCCUGCAACCGUAGCGCCCAUCGGCAUGACCUUGCCAUACACGGACAGUCUGCUGAGUAAUUCAGAGCAAGAAAGUUAUUUUACUGGAGAAAGUACAUCCAGUAUGAAACCCGGGAAAUUAAAUUGAAAUCUGUCCGCAACAGUUAGGAUUGUAGUAUGCAAGUUUACAGAUGAAUAUAUUAAGUUUACUAUGAACUAAAAGAGC